rnacentral:rRNA from 1 species
GAGUUUGAUCAUGGCUCAGAGCGAACGCUGGCGGCAGGCCUAAUACAUGCAAGUCGAACGGAUCCUUCGGGAUUAGUGGCGGACGGGUGAGUAACACGGUGGGAACGUGCCCUUUGGUUCGGAACAACUCAGGGAAACUUGAGCUAAUACCGGAUAAGCCCUUCGGGGGAAAGAUUUAUCGCCAUUGGAGCGGCCCGCGUCUGAUUAGCUAGUUGGUGGGGUAAAGGCCUACCAAGGCGACGAUCAGUAGCUGGUCUGAGAGGAUGAUCAGCCACACUGGGACUGAGACACGGCCCAGACUCCUACGGGAGGCAGCAGUAGGGAAUCUUGCGCAAUGGGCGAAAGCCUGACGCAGCCAUGCCGCGUGAAUGAUGAAGGUCUUAGGAUUGUAAAAUUCUUUCAGCGGGGACGAUAAUGACGGUACCCGCAGAAGAAGCCCGGCUAACUUCGUGCCAGCAGCCGCCGUAAC